ACACACACACACACAUAUAUAUAUAUAUAUAUAUAUACACAUUUAUAUAUACACGUAUAUAUAUAAAAAAAAUAUAUAUAAAAUAUUUAUAUAAAUAUAUAUAUAUAUAUGUAUAUAUAAAUGUAUAUAUGUGUGUGUGUAUAGAUUUAUAUAUAUAUAUAUAUAUUUCUAUAUAAAUGUACAUAUAUAUUUAUUUAUACAUAGGACUAGCCACCAAACACCACUCUACUCCAGCAGCCGCUUGUUUGUGGGGGAGCCCUGACAAGUUGAUCACCGAGUGCAGUGGAGUUUAGCAGCUCAAGGAAGAAAAUUUAGGAUCAUUACUUCAUGGAAAUGCAGUCAGACCGAACACUAAGGCAGAAGAACUACUGCGCCUGCAGUGCACAUACAAAAUACACAAGAAGUUUGAUUGCAUUUCCAUUAAGAAAUCAUCAUAAAUUUUCUUCCUUGAGCUGCGAAACUCCGCCACACUCGGCGAUCGACUUCUCAGGGCUGAUAAACAAGUCUUGUCAUUCAUGUUUUACUUGACAGAUGGAUGCUAGCCAAGAAGAAGAAGAAAAUCACACCUACUACCAAGAGGAAAGAGGAGGAAAAGCUGUGUCAGGGGAGAAAACAGCCCUUAAAGUGAACGGUGAAGCAAAAGAUGUGGAGUACGCCAGCAUUGAUUUCGCUGUGCUGAAAAGGAGGGCAGCAAAGAAGAAGGAGAGCACAAAAACAGAGUACGCUGAAAUUAGGAAAGACAUGAUAGAGCGAAGAGAAAACCACAGUGGAGUUAAAGAUGAAACACUGGGGGAAGAAGAGGAGGAGACAACUGAUUUGGUCACAGAGGAGGAGGAAGGAGAGGGUGUGGCAGUGUACUCCAAUCUGAGGGAUGUAAUAAAUGGGACAUGAGGACAGUGUUCAGAUAUGAAGAACUGAAGUAGUUCACUGAUGAUGGAUUGUUUUACUGUGAGGGACUAAAUUACAAGUCUAUACGUUUAAAAUGAGGCACCAGCUCGGUCCUCUCAGCUCUGGGAGCUGAAGCUAAGUGUAAUUUUGGUCCACUCAAAGCUCUUCAGAGUGGACUGAAUGUCUGUUCCUGUGGAAAAAUUAAAUCCUCCCUUUAACCCUGUGAAGCUAACCUGUCACUUCUCAGUGGCUGUGAUGACUGUAAGACAAUAGUGCAGUGCUGAUAUGGUGAAGAGUGCUUUAAUAAUCGUAUGCAUGGGUUUAUGAUGAAAGGGUUAUAUUUAUAUGAUACAGAUUUUGAAGAGAAGGAUGUUAAACAUCAUAAUUAAAGACUCCUCACUGUCCCGAAUGAGGCCGAGGACUGUGGUGUUGUCUUCUUCAGGACUUUGACAGAUGGAUCCUCUGAGAUCAAGUCAUUUAUGUGGAGGGAGAAGAGCAGUGGGGAAAGAACGCACACCAUCAGCGUAGAUCUAGGUGCUACUAGAUGUGAUCCCCACACCCAUCCUCAGACGAAUUAAGUGUCUGAAUGAAUGAGCGAGUGUGAGAGUUUUCUUCCACAGCUAUAUCUGACCCUGACUUUCAAAGAGAAGAAACUGUUGAGCAGUUUGUUUUCAUCAAUUCUUGUCUUACUUCUGGCACACUGCAGGAAAAAGUAGCUGUAAAUAAAGUGUUCAGUAAACUGACUGGUUAAAAACAA
rnacentral:lncRNA from 1 species